rnacentral:rRNA from 1 species
GACGGGUGAGUAAUGCCUAGGAAAUUGCCCUGAUGUGGGGGAUAACCAUUGGAAACGAUGGCUAAUACCGCAUAAUGCCUACGGGCCAAAGAGGGGGACCUUCGGGCCUCUCGCGUCAGGAUAUGCCUAGGUGGGAUUAGCUAGUUGGUGAGGUAAUGGCUCACCAAGGCGACGAUCCCUAGCUGGUCUGAGAGGAUGAUCAGCCACACUGGAACUGAGACACGGUCCAGACUCCUACGGGAGGCAGCAGUGGGGAAUAUUGCACAAUGGGCGCAAGCCUGAUGCAGCCAUGCCGCGUGUGUGAAGAAGGCCUUCGGGUUGUAAAGCACUUUCAGUCGUGAGGAAGGUGGUGUAGUUAAUAGCUGCAUUAUUUGACGUUAGCGACAGAAGAAGCACCGGCUAACUCCGUGCCAGCAGCCGCGGUAAUACGGAGGGUGCGAGCGUUAAUCGGAAUUACUGGGCGUAAAGCGCAUGCAGGUGGUUUGUUAAGUCAGAUGUGAAAGCCCGGGGCUCAACCUCGGAAUAGCAUUUGAAACUGGCAGACUAGAGUACUGUAGAGGGGGGUAGAAUUUCAGGUGUAGCGGUGAAAUGCGUAGAGAUCUGAAGGAAUACCGGUGGCGAAGGCGGCCCCCUGGACAGAUACUGACACUCAGAUGCGAAAGCGUGGGGAGCAAACAGGAUUAGAUACCCUGGUAGUCCACGCCGUAAACGAUGUCUACUUGGAGGUUGUGGCCUUGAGCCGUGGCUUUCGGAGCUAACGCGUUAAGUAGACCGCCUGGGGAGUACGGUCGCAAGAUUAAAACUCAAAUGAAUUGACGGGGGCCCGCACAAGCGGUGGAGCAUGUGGUUUAAUUCGAUGCAACGCGAAGAACCUUACCUACUCUUGACAUCCAGAGAACUUUCCAGAGAUGGAUUGGUGCCUUCGGGAACUCUGAGACAGGUGCUGCAUGGCUGUCGUCAGCUCGUGUUGUGAAAUGUUGGGUUAAGUCCCGCAACGAGCGCAACCCUUAUCCUUGUUUGCCAGCGAGUAAUGUCGGGAACUCCAGGGAGACUGCCGGUGAUAAACCGGAGGAAGGUGGGGACGACGUCAAGUCAUCAUGGCCCUUACGAGUAGGGCUACACACGUGCUACAAUGGCGCAUACAGAGGGCAGCAAGCUAGCGAUAGUGAGCGAAUCCCAAAAAGUGCGUCGUAGUCCGGAUUGGAGUCUGCAACUCGACUCCAUGAAGUCGGAAUCGCUAGUAAUCGUGGAUCAGAAUGCCACGGUGAAUACGUUCCCGGGCCUUGUACACACCGCCCGUCACACCAUGGGAGUGGGCUGCAAAAGAAGUAGGUAGUUUAACCUUCGGGAGGACGCUUACCACUUUGUGGUUCAUGA